rnacentral:tRNA from 1 species
GAGGGUGUAGCUCCAUGGUAGAGCUCAUGCCUAGCAUGCACAAGGUCCUGGGUUCAAUUCCCCAGUACCUCCA